ACAGGCUUAACACAUGCAAGUCGAGGGGUAGCAGGGUAGCAAUACCGCUGACGACCGGCGCACGGGUGAGUAACACGUAUCCAACCUUCCCAUAACUCGGGGAUAGCCUUUCGAAAGAAAGAUUAAUACCCGAUAGUACUUUAUUAAGGCAUCUUAAGAAAGUUAAAGAUUUAUUGGUUAUGGAUGGGGAUGCGUUCCAUUAGAUAGUUGGUGAGGUAACGGCUCACCAAGUCUUCGAUGGAUAGGGGUUCUGAGAGGAAGGUCCCCCACAUUGGUACUGAGACACGGACCGAACUCCUACGGGAGGCAGCAGUGAGGAAUAUUGGUCAAUGGGCGAGAGCCUGAACCAGCCAAGUAGCGUGAAGGAUGACGG
rnacentral:rRNA from 1 species